AAGAUUUUAAGUUAAAGCAAACUAAUAGCCUUCAAAGCUGGAAAUAAAACUAACUUUUAAGUCUUA
rnacentral:tRNA from 1 species